rnacentral:rRNA from 1 species
GUCUACAGCCAUACCACCCUGAAAAAGCCUGAUGUCUGAUCUUGGAAGCUAAGCAGGGUCAGGCCUGGUUAGUACUUGGAUGGGAGACCACCUAGAAAGACGAGGUGCUGUAGGCA